ensembl:lncRNA
GAUUUUAAAUGUCCACACCUGAGAAGGACCCCCAGGCUGCAUGAUGAAAGAAGGAAGUGGAGAAGAUCCACUUAAUGGUGAGAGUAACCUCUUUCCAAACCCGGACGUCAAGUAACAAACCUUUGCUUUCACCAGAUUCAGCUUCCUUCCCAUCGGUGGUCUCAGAGCUCUCACCGCGGACACCCGAGAUUCGAGGAAAGCUCCGGAAAAGACUCCGCUCUCAAUAACAACCCUCUUCCCCAAGGCUCUUGGAAAGGCUGGAUCUGAACAACGCUGCCUGCAUGACCUCAAUUCCCCAACCUAAAUGAAAGCUGAGAAGCACCCAACCAAAACCCGCACCCCCCACCCCAACCACCCUACGGGGCGGGGGGCGGUCCCAUACUCAGGGUGUCUACAAGCUCUACUCAGGGUGUCUACAGUCCUGGAGCUGCUUUUAUUUUUAUUAAUGUAUUUUUCAGGCCGAAAAAAGGCACAUGCACACACGCACACCGCACACAGGUUCACACCCAGUGGGUUCUGGCAGGUACAGAGGAGACCUGGUGCUCCAGACUGUAAAGUGUCUUGAUCCCAGCCUGGCCUCCCUCCCCCAGUGAUUAAUAAAAGACCGGCCAUGGGGAGCCGGCGUUCUGGUUUUCAUUGUACAGGCUGCACUGGGUGACACAGGACAUGUGGAAAAUUUUUGAGAGCGCUGCUGCGGUGAAUGGCGUGGAGGGGGGGAGGGAGCGC